GGAUGGACCUAAUGCAUAGACACACAGACACACGGACACACAGACACACAACACUGGAGACAGAAAAAAGCUGGGAGUGGUGGCAGCUAGAACUUCUGUAAAGGCUGAUUCUACAGUUACAAUCUGCUUCUACAGCACAGCCCCUUUGACAAAUUGCUAUGGAUGUUCUGGAGUUUGAGAUUGCCCAUUUCUAUCUGUAUGUCUGCCUGUCUUCCUCCCUUCCUUCCUUCUGCAGAACCAGCUUGCCUCCAUUUUAGGCUUAAAAGCCAUCUAGUAGAAAAGACAAGCUAAGUUCUAUCCUGAUGAAGAUUAAGUCUGCUCCUCAAGGACGGGGCUAUGCCCCACCUAUAACCUUAACUACAAAUGGUUCUCUACUAUCUGUUCCGGAGACCUCAACUGAGUCUUUGUCUCAAAACGUAGUUAUAACCAUC
rnacentral:lncRNA from 1 species